CUUUAUUGGAGAGUUUGAUCCUGGCUCAGGACGAACGCUGGCGGCGUGCCUAAUACAUGCAAGUCGAGCGGACUUUAAAAGCUUGCUUUUAAAGUUAGCGGCGGACGGGUGAGUAACACGUGGGCAACCUGCCUGUAAGACUGGGAUAACUUCGGGAAACCGGAGCUAAUACCGGAUAAUCCUUUCCUCUCAUGAGGAAAAGCUGAAAGACGGCAUCUCGCUGUCACUUACAGAUGGGCCCGCGGCGCAUUAGCUAGUUGGUGAGGUAACGGCUCACCAAGGCAACGAUGCGUAGCCGACCUGAGAGGGUGAUCGGCCACACUGGGACUGAGACACGGCCCAGACUCCUACGGGAGGCAGCAGUAGGGAAUCUUCCGCAAUGGACGAAAGUCUGACGGAGCAACGCCGCGUGAGUGAUGAAGGUUUUCGGAUCGUAAAGCUCUGUUGUUAGGGAAGAACAAGUACAAGAGUAACUGCUUGUACCUUGACGGUACCUAACCAGAAAGCCACGGCUAACUACGUGCCAGCAGCCGCGGUAAUACGUAGGUGGCAAGCGUUGUCCGGAAUUAUUGGGCGUAAAGCGCGCGCAGGCGGUCCUUUAAGUCUGAUGUGAAAGCCCACGGCUCAACCGUGGAGGGUCAUUGGAAACUGGGGGACUUGAGUGCAGAAGAGAAGAGUGG
rnacentral:rRNA from 2 species